rnacentral:rRNA from 1 species
GAUAAACGCUGGCGGCGUGCCUUAUGCAUGCAAGUCGAACGGUCUCGAUUUAUCGAGAUAGUGGCGAACGGGUGAGUAACGCGUAAGUAACCUGCCCCUAGGUAAGGGAUAACUCUGAGAAAUUAGAGCUAAUACCAUAUGUGGUGGUGGAGGUAAUGCUUCAUCACUAAAGCUUUAGGGCGCUUAGGGAGGGGCUUGCGUCCGAUUAGCUAGUUGGUAGAGUAAUGGUCUACCAAGGCGAUGAUCGGUAGCUGGUUUGAGAGGACAUCCAGCCACACUGGGAUUGAGAUACGGCCCAGACUCCUACGGGAGGCAUCAGCAAGGAAUUUUGUGCAAUGGGCGAAAGCCUGACACAGCGACGCCGUGUGGGGGAUGAAGGCCUUCGGGUUGUAAACCCCUUUUCUCAGGGAAGAAUAUGACGGUACCUGAGGAAUAAGUCGUGGCUAACUACGUGCCAGCAGCCGCGGUAAUACGUAGGCGGCAAGCGUUAUCCGGAUUUACUGGGCGUAAAGAGGGCGUAGGCGGUUUUUCAAGUCGAUUGUAAAAUCUCCCGGCUUAACUGGGAGGAGUCAUUCGAUACUGUUAGACUAGAGAGCAGCAGGGGGAGGUGGAAUUCCCGGUGUAGUGGUGAAAUGUGUAGAUAUCGGGAGGAACACCAGUGGCGAAGGCGGCCUCCUGGGCUGUUGCUGACGCUGAGGUCCAAAAGCGUGGGGAGCAAACAGGAUUAGAUACCCUGGUAGUCCACGCCGUAAACGAUGGACACUAGGUAUAGGGAGUAUCGACCCUCUCUGUGCCGAAGCUAACGCUUUAAGUGUCCCGCCUGGGGAGUACGGCCGCAAGGCUA